rnacentral:lncRNA from 1 species
GCACAUGCAUGGAACAUUAAAUAUAGAUAAAAAAGAUAACUAAUUGCACAGUUUAUCUGUAAAUCACGACACGAAUCUUUUAAGUCUAGUUGCUCCAUGAUUGGACAAUGUUUGUCAAAUAAAACGAAAAUACUAUAGUGUCAAAAUCCAAAAAGCUUUUGGAUCUAAACAAGGCCUUAGGAGACUGAUGGGGAGAGGCUCUUGUGAAGAAGAAAUUCAGAAUCAUACUGAACUCAAACUUGGCAAGAAUCGGAGCCUUUGCACAAUUAAAAGCCUCGUGCAUGUAUUAGGAGAUAUUGACCGGUGCGGGUGCCUGCGAUCUCACGUUGACCUCUGCGUGUUGCUUUGAACAACAAGAAACGAUAGCUGUGGCGGAGGACAAGCAAAAAGGCGCUUCUGCACUGGUAGACAGUUUAGAUUUAGGAGUAGGAGCCGAAGGUAAUGAAUUGGACUAUGUGGGCUUUUUCAAUUAUCUUUUUUUUUAAUUAAUUACUUAACUGGGCUGGUGGUGGUUGCUUUACGCGGGAUUGAUGCAGUGUGGCGGGCCUUUGUGGGCUUCACGUGGCAAUUGGGCUGUGGAUCGCGCAGGCUGUCCAUGCAGGCCUGCGCGGUGUGGCCUUCGAGCACCAGAAGCUUCGUGUGGGGCCUUGUUCAGUUUCAAAAUUUUUUAUAUUUAGGUACGGUAGUAUUUUUAUUUUUAUUUAAUAAUCAUUAUUUAAUUAUGAAUUAAUUAGAUUUAAAAAAUUCAUCUCGUGAUUUACAAGUAAAAUGUGUAAUUAAUUUUUGUUUUCGUUUAUAUUUAAUAUUUUAUAUACGUGUCGCAAAAUUCGAUGUUAUAAGAAAUCUUGAAAAUUUUUUAAUUUUUUGGGUGAACUAAAGAAAGCCUGAGUUGAUGUAGGGCUCGUUCGGUUAUCAUGGAUUUGCUAACAAUUCCUAGCCGGAUUGUUGUGUAAUUUAUAUAAGCUUUAAUCAUCUGAAAUGAUUCCUGGGGAUAUCCAGACUAACCGAAAAGGACGGCC